UUCGGGACGCCGGCGAGUGGCGAACGGGUGAGUAACACGUGGAGACCUGCCCUGGGGUGGGGGAUAACAGCUAGAAAUGGCUGCUAAUACCGCAUACGCCUUACGAGGGAAAGAUUUAUUGCCCCAGGAGGGUUCCGCGUCGGAUUAGCUUGUUGGUGGGGUAACGGCCUACCAAGGCGACGAUCCGUAGCUGGUCUUAGAGGAUGAUCAGCCACACUGGGACUGAGACACGGCCCAGACUCCUACGGGAGGCAGCAGUGGGGAAUAUUGCGCAAUGGGGGAAACCCUGACGCAGCGAUGCCGCGUGGGUGAAUAAGGCCUUAGGGUUGUAAAGCCCUUUCAGUGGGAACGAUGAUGACGGUACCCACAGAAGAAGCCCCGGCUAACUCCGUGCCAGCAGCCGCGGUAAUACGAAGGGGGCUAGCGUUGU
rnacentral:rRNA from 1 species